rfam:Burkholderia sp. ST111 contig_2, whole genome shotgun sequence.
AUGAGUGCCUGUCCACCCCACACUUUUCGUUGCUGCGCCGGACUUGACGGCCGUUUUGUCGGCUCUGUCGAAGUCAUGAGGCGCAACGCGAUAACCGAAGGCGAGCCGCUUGUCCCGUACGCCGGGGCGGCGGCUUUUUUA